rfam:Vittaforma corneae ATCC 50505 unplaced genomic scaffold supercont1.1, whole genome shotgun sequence.
GCGCGCUUAGUGUAGUGGCUUAUCACGUCUGCUUUACACGCAGGAGGGGGCCAGUUCGAUCCUGGCAGUGCGCA